rnacentral:rRNA from 1 species
AAGGAAGCAGCAGGCGCGCAAAUUACCCANUCCCGGCACGGGAGGUAGUGACGAAAAAUAACGAUACGGGACUCAUCCGAGGCCCCGUAAUCGGAAUGAGAACACUUUAAAACCCUUUAACGAGUAUCCAUUGGAGGGCAAGUCUGGUGCCAGCAGCCGCGGUAAUUCCAGCUCCAAUAGCGUAUAUUAAAGUUGUUGCGGUUAAAAAGCUCGUAGUUGGACUUGUGUCCCACGCUGUCGGUUCACCGUUCGUCGGUGUUUAACUGGCAUGCCCGUGCGGACGUCCUGCCGGUGGAUGCGGCCGGCCGCGGGGCCUCCGGGUCCUGCGCGUCGGCGGUCCGAUUCAAUCCUACCGCGGUGCUCUUCACCGAGUGUCGAGGUGGGCCGGCACGUUUACUUUGAACAAAUUAGAGUGCUUAAAGCAGGCAGUGGUUCGCCUGAAUAUUGUGUGCAUGGAAUAAUGGAACAGGACCUCGGUUCUAUUUUGUUGGUUUUCGGAACUCGAGGUAAUGAUUAAUAGGGACAAACGGAGGCAUCCGUAUUGCGACGUUAGAGGUGAAAUUCUUGGAUCGUCGCAAGACGAACUUAAGCGAAAGCAUUUGCCGAGCGUGUUUUCACUAAUCAAGAACGAAAGUUAGAGGUUCGAAGGCGAUCAGAUACCGCCCUAGUUCUAACCAUAAACGAUGCCAGCUAGCGAUCCGCCGAAGUUCCUCCGAUGACUCGGCGGGCAGCUUCCGGGAAACCAAAGCUUUUGGGUUCCGGGGGAAGUAUGGUUGCAAAGCUGAAACUUAAAGGAAUUGACGGAAGGGCACCACCAGGAGUGGAGCCUGCGGCUUAAUUUGACUCAACACGGGAAACCUCACCAGGCCCGGACACCGGAAGGAUUGACAGAUUGAGAGCUCUUCUUGA